AUCACGCUGAUACGUAUUACUUCCGCAUUUGGUGAUCUUUGUGCACUGUGACAUCCGGUGAAUAUCUCAUCACUCUGGCGAACCGAUGAUGGAGGACCGGCAGUUCACUUUCACUACAUCCCUGAUAAAUGUACCCAAAAUCACGUUUCCUGACGUUCACAGACUUCCCGAACAACAUUCCAUUACAGCCCGCUCCAAACUGGACAAGGGAUACCGUUUAUUUUUCGAGAAAUAUAUCUACGACUACGAAGAUUGUUUUCCAAGCUGACGGCGCCAAUCUUCAAGAAACCACAUGCAGCUGUACAGCAGCCAAGGUUCUUUGCAACCAUCUAGUGGCCUUGUUGUUCCAGAGUGCCCAUUACAGCAUGUUGCAGGUGAGAGCUGUACCACCACCUAUGGCCUGCACAAGCUCUCUGCAAACAUGGCAUCGACCAAGGACUAAGGUAACAUUGUAGCUGUGCGGAGCUGCACCGUAUUGAAUAGACUUCCA